rnacentral:misc_RNA from 1 species
AACGCAACUUGCGCUCCUUGGUAUUCCAUGGAGCAUGCCUGUUUGAGAGUCACGUAAACCCUCACCCUUACGAUGUUACAAUCGCAUUGUGGUGGAUUUGGAUCGUGCCGUAAUUGGCUCAUCCUGAAAUGCAUUAGCUUGUGCUUUUUACAGUGCUCGGCAUGGUGUGAUAAUUAUCUGCGCCGUCGCCUUAGGCCUGUUCUAUAUGUGCAGCUUCUAAUCGUCCCUUGUGGACAACUUACUUAACACUUUGGCCUCAAAUCAGGUAGGACUACCCGCUGAACUUAA